rnacentral:other from 1 species
CUCUGGCUGCCCGGCGCGUGAGGACACACAUAUCCCCGGGGCCUUAAUCGAUCCUGAGGGAGCUGUCCCUGACCUGGCCCGUGGGCCAGGACAUACGGCGCCCACCUACGUAUGUAGGUUCCCGGGAUCAGAUGUCCCACGGCCAGGGCGGCACAGAA